rnacentral:rRNA from 1 species
UACGGGGGGGGCAAGCGUUGUUCGGAAUUACUGGGCGUAAAGGGCUCGUAGGUGGCCAACUAAGUCGGACGUGAAAUCCCUCAGCUUAACUGGGGAACUGCGUCCGAUACUGGAUGGCUUGAGUUUGGGAGAGGGAUGCGGAAUUCCAGGUGUAGCGGUGAAAUGCGUAGAUAUCUGGAGGAACACCUAUGGCGAAGGCAGCUCGCUGGGACGGUACUGACGCUGAGGCGCGAAAGCGUGGGGAGCAAACGGG